rnacentral:rRNA from 1 species
UACGAAGGGGGCUAGCGUUGUUCGGAAUCACUGGGCGUAAAGGGCGCGUAGGCGGCUGUUCAAGUCGGGGGUGAAAGCCUGUGGCUCAACCACAGAAUUGCCUUCGAUACUGGACGGCUCGAGACCGGAAGAGGUCAGUGGAACUGCGAGUGUAGAGGUGAAAUUCGUAGAUAUUCGCAAGAACACCAGUGGCGAAGGCGGCUAUCUGGACGGUUACUGACGCUAAGACGCGAAAGCGUGGGGAGCAAACAGG